GGAGGGUGAGGGCUCCAGCAUGGCAGGCUGCAGGUCCCGAGCCCUGCCCCCUUGCCCCGCGGGGAGGUGGCUGAGGCCCAGCGAAAAUUCGAGCGCGGCGCCGGCGGGCCAUCACUGUUGGAGGACCCAGUGCACCCUCCGCAGCUGCUGGCCCGGGUGCUAAGCCUCUCACUGCCCAGGGCCGGCGGCGCCAGCCGACCGCUCAACAGUGCGGGGCGCGCCGAGCCCGCGCCCACCCGGAAGUCGCGCUGAGCCCGCGCCCACCCGGAAGUCGCGCUGGACCUGCGAGCACCGCAGGCAGCCCAGGUUCCGGCCCGCGCCUCUCCCUCCACACCUCCCCGCCAGCAGAGGGAGCCCGCUCAGGCCUCAGCCAGCACAGAGAGGGGCUCCCACGGUGCAGCUGCGGGCUGAAGGGCUCCUCAAGCGCGGCCAGAGUGGGCUGAGGCCGAGGAGGCGCCGAGAGCCAGCGAGGGAUGCCAGCAAGCUGUCACCUCUCAGAAAUACAGGAAGAACAUCAAUAAUGUUCGAAGUUAUAAAGUAUUGCGGAGGUCAGAGGUCAGAAAACAAGGUGUCUGCAGGACCAACCUCUCCUCUGGAUGCUCUAGGAAACGAGUAGAAUUAAGUGAAUUGAUUAUCAUAUCUAACCUAAUGAAUUGGGAGAUAGCCGUGGGCAUUAAAACUGUUUCAAGAAGUGCAACUUAGCGUUCAGGGCUGACCUCAUGAGCUUCCAGAGACAUCAGAGUGUUGAAAUUUCCAGGAUGCAAAACGAAGGGGCAAUUCAAAACAUUCAUCUCCACUUCUCAAAAGUCUUUGAUUACUUGAGAAAAGUGAGUGAGGUGGGGCCAAGAUGGUUGACUAGAAGCAGCUAGUGUGUGCCACUCUCACAAAUAGCAGAAAGAGUGGUGAGACACUAGCUCUUCAACCGGAACAUCCAGGUGGACACAUAAGGAUUCAUCAGUGACAUAGUGUGACCUUCGGAUCACGGAGAAGAGUGAGACAGAUCAGCCAUUCACCCAGGAGUGGCACAGACCCAGGGGAAUCCCCCUACAAGAAAAUGGCCAGGAACCUCCAGAUAUAUUGGAGACCUCAAGAAGAGAGAAAUUCAUGCAGAUUUUUAGAUACUGCAGCCAAAGUCUGAUGUUCGCCCUCCUUUGACUUCUGACCCUUGAAAGGCUUUUAAAAGUCUAAUCUGAGAUUUCUUAUCAAAAGUUCCGUCAAAAUAAACUUAAAAACAGCCCAUGUUUCAUCCCUUUUCUUGCUAUACUGUUGUCAAUAAUCAUGCCAAGUUUAAUGAGACUAAACUUAUUCAGCAGACAAAUUAGUCUUACUCUGAUUAUCUUUAGUAGAAAUAGGGAUGAUUGUACAGAGAAAAAUUAUGUUUCUGAAGAAAAACUGCAGUACACCUGUUAGUAGAUUGUAGUUUUCUUUGUUGUUUUCAAGUUUUUGUCAUCUAUCUCUAAAUUAGACAGGGCACUUAAUUAUUCUAAUUUCCUCCAACGUCUGGCUACGAUUCUCCAACUAAGAACAUAAACUGCCUUGUUCCUAAAGUCCUAUAAGUUGGAGCCAGAAAACUCCAUGUAAAUUUCAAGAGAGAAAUCUCAUGGCUAUUGUGUGGGCUACAAAGAGAAUUGACUAAAAUGCCCCAUGCUAUACCCAGGAACAUUCAAACUACAAACCAGAGUAAGAAGUUGAUGACAUCACAGUGUGGAAAGCUUUUCCCAAGACAUUGUAACAAAACUGGACUCUUAUCCU
rnacentral:lncRNA from 1 species